AUUGAAUGACAAAAAUGACGCAUAUUUCCGUAUUUCUGAUGAUAUCAUGGUAGAUUUUGAAUUGAUUUUAAUUAAUACAAACUGGAAUUAAUAUAGAUUAUCAGUGCCUCGAUAACAAUGUUUUCCCUUCGGUUUUUACAGGUCUUCAUGCUUCAUGGUUUUAUAUCAUUCACAAAAGAGCAAACAUAUAAUUGCCCUGAUCCAUGGGUUACUUUUGGAGGCAGUUGUUACAACUUUGUCUUUUACCCAACAAACUAUUAUCCACAAGCUAAAAUGACUUGUAUG